GCGAACGGACGAGAAGCUUGCUUCUCUGAUGUUAGCGGCGGACGGGUGAGUAACACGUGGAUAACCUACCUAUAAGACUGGGAUAACUUCGGGAAACCGGAGCUAAUACCGGAUAAUAUUUUGAACCGCAUGGUUCAAAAGUGAAAGACGGUCUUGCUGUCACUUAUAGAUGGAUCCGCGCUGCAUUAGCUAGUUGGUAAGGUAACGGCUUACCAAGGCAACGAUGCAUAGCCGACCUGAGAGGGUGAUCGGCCACACUGGAACUGAGACACGGUCCAGACUCCUACGGGAGGCAGCAGUAGGGAAUCUUCCGCAAUGGGCGAAAGCCUGACGGAGCAACGCCGCGUGAGUGAUGAAGGUCUUCGGAUCGUAAAACUCUGUUAUUAGGGAAGAACAUAUGUGUAAGUAACUGUGCACAUCUUGACGGUACCUAAUCAGAAAGCCACGGCUAACUACGUGCCAGCAGCCGCGGUAAUACGUAGGUGGCAAGCGUUAUCCGGAAUUAUUGGGCGUAAAGCGCGCGUAGGCGGUUUUUUAAGUCUGAUGUGAAAGCCCACGGCUCAACCGUGGAGGGUCAUUGGAAACUGGAAAACUUGAGUGCAGAAGAGGAAAGUGGAAUUCCAUGUGUAGCGGUGAAAUGCGCAGAGAUAUGGAGGAACACCAGUGGCGAAGGCGACUUUCUGGUCUGUAACU
rnacentral:rRNA from 1 species